UGAGUACGAGCUGCUACGGCAGCGAAGUGGGUGAAGUCAAGCUUCCAAGAAAAGCCCUAUACCCGUUAAGGCAUGAUGGCCUGUACCCGAAACCGACACAGGUGGGGUGGUAGAGAAUACCGAGGGGCGCGAGAUAACUCUCUCUAAGGAACUCGGCAAAAUGGCCCCGUAACUUCGGGAGAAGGGGUGCCACCGCAAGGUGGUCGCAGUGAAGAGGCCCAGGCGACUGUUUACCAAAAACACAGGUCUCCGCUAAGUCGCAAGACGAUGUAUGGGGGCUGACGCCUGCCCAGUGCCGGAAGGUUAAGGAAGCUGGUCAGCGCAAGCGAAGCUAGCGACUGAAGCCCCGGUGAACGGCGGCCGUAACGAUAACGGUCCUAAGGUAGCGAAAUUCCUUGUCGGGUAAGUUCCGACCCGCACGAAAGGCGUAACGAUCUGGGCGCUGUCUCGGAGAGAGGCUCGGCGAAAUAGAAUUGUCUGUGAAGAUGCGGACUACGUGCACCCGGACAGAAAGACCCUAUGGAGCUUUACUGUAGCUUGGUAUUGUGCUCGGGCUCGGAAUGCGCAGGAUAGGUGGGAGGCUAUGAACCAUUGCUUGUGGGUGAUGGUGAGCCACUGGUGAGAUACCACUCUUUCCGAGCUAGAGUUCUAACAGCCACCCGUUAUCCGGGGGCUGGACAGUAUCAGGUGGGCAGUUUGACUGGGGCGGUCGCCUCCUAAAAGGUAACGGAGGCGCGCAAAGGUUUGCUCAGGCUGGUUGGAAAUCAGCCGACGAGUGUAAAAGCAGAAGCAAGCUUGACUGUGAGACCUACAAGUCGAACAGGGAGGAAACUCGGCUUUAGUGAUCCGACGGUUCUGCGUGGAAGGGCCGUCGCUCAACGGAUAAAAGUUACUCUAGGAUAACAGGCUGAUCUCCCCCAAGAGUUCACAUCGACGGGGAGGUUUGGCACCUCGAUGUCGGCUCAUCGCAACCUGGGGCUGAAGUCGGUCCCAAGGGUUGGGCUGUUCGCCCAUUAAAGCGGUACGCGAGCUGGGUUCAGAACGUCGUGAGACAGUUCGGUCCAUAUCCGGUGCAUGCGCAGGAAUAUUGAGAGGAUUUCUCCCUAGUACGAGAGGACCGGGAGGAACGCACCUCUGGUGUACCAGUUAUCGUGCCAACGGUAAACGCUGGGUAGCCAUGUGCGGAGAGGAUAACCGCUGAAAGCAUCUAAGUGGGAAGCCCACCUCAAGAUGAGUAUUCCCAUGGGGUAACCCAGUAAGGUCACGGGAAGAACACCCGUUGAUAGGCUCUACGUGGAAGCGCAGUAAUGUGUGAAGCGGAGGAGUACUAAUAGACCGAGGGCUUGAC
rnacentral:rRNA from 1 species